UACGUAGGGGGCAAGCGUUAUCCGAAAUUACUGGGUGUAAAGGGAGCGUAGACGGUAAUGUAAGUCUGGAGUGAAAGGCGGGGGCCCAACCCCCGGACUGCUCUGGAAACUAUGUUACUAGAGUGCAGGUGAGGUAAGCGGAAUUCCUAGUGUAGCGGUGAAAUGCGUAGAUGUUAGGAGGAACACCAGUGGCGAAGGCGGCUUACUGGACUGUAACUGACGUUGAGGCUCGAAAGCGUGGGGAGCAAACAGG
rnacentral:rRNA from 1 species